rnacentral:rRNA from 1 species
UUAUAUGAGAGUUUGAUCCUGGCUCAGGAUGAACGCUGGCGGCGUGCCUAAUACAUGCAAGUCGAACGAGUUCUGAUUAUUGAAAGGUGCUUGCAUCUUGAUUUAAUUUUGAACGAGUGGCGGACGGGUGAGUAACACGUGGGUAACCUGCCCUUAAGUGGGGGAUAACAUUUGGAAACAGAUG